GAUGAACGCUGGCGGCGUGCCUAAUACAUGCAAGUCGAGCGAACAGAUAAGGAGCUUGCUCCUUUGACGUUAGCGGCGGACGGGUGAGUAACACGUGGGUAACCUAUCUAUAAGACUGGAAUAACUCCGGGAAACCGGGGCUAAUGCCGGAUAACAUGUUGAACCGCAUGGUUCUACAGUGAAAGGCGGCUUUGCUGUCACUUAUAGGUGGACCCGCGCCGUAUUAGCUAGUUGGUGAGGUAACGGCUCACCAAGGCAACGAUACGUAGCCGACCUGAGAGGGUGAUCGGCCACACUGGAACUGAGACACGGUCCAGACUCCUACGGGAGGCAGCAGUAGGGAAUCUUCCGCAAUGGGCGAAAGCCUGACGGAGCAACGCCGCGUGAGUGAUGAAGGUCUUCGGAUCGUAAAACUCUGUUAUUAGGGAAGAACAAAUGCGUAAGUAACUGUGCGCGUCUUGACGGUACCUAAUCAGAAAGCCACGGCUAACUACGUG
rnacentral:rRNA from 1 species